rnacentral:ncRNA from 2 species
UUUGUUUGCUGGGGGAGCUUUAAAAAGCUGAGAAGGUUAAAACCUGACCCUUGGAACCUGACACGGUUAAUACCGGCGUAGGGAAGCUAUGGACGCUCUCA